rnacentral:rRNA from 1 species
UACGAAGGGGGGCUAGCGUUGCUCGGAAUCACUGGGCGUAAAGGGUGCGUAGGCGGGUCUUUUAAGUCAGGGGGUGAAAUCCUGGAGCUCAACUCCAGAACUGCCUUUGAUACUGAGGAUCUUGAGUUCGGGAGAGGUGAGUGGAACUGCGAGUGUAGAGGUGAAAAUUCGUAGAUAUUCGCAAGAACACCAGUGGCGAAGGCGGCUCACUGGCCCGAUACUGACGCUGAGGCACGAAAGCGUGGGGGAGCAAACAGG